GCCGCAGGGAAACCGAGUCUGAAUAGGGCGAAUUAGUAUCAUGUCGUAGACCCGAAACCAUGUGACCUACCCAUGAGCAGGUUGAAGGUGCGGUAAGACGCACUGGAGGACCGAACCAGGGCACGUUGAAAAGUGCUUGGAUGACUUGUGGGUAGCGGAGAAAUUCCAAACGAACUUGGAGAUAGCUGGUUCUCUCCGAAAUAGCUUUAGGGCUAGCGUCGACAUAAAGAUUCUUGGAGGUAGAGCACUGUUUGGGUGAGGGGUCCAUCCCGGAUUACCAAUCUCAGAUAAACUCCGAAUGCCAAUGAAUUAUGGUCGGCAGUCAGACUGCGAGUGCUAAGAUCCGUAGUCGAAAGGGAAACAGCCCAGACCACCAGCUAAGGUCCCAAAAUAAUUGUUAAGUGGAAAAGGAUGUGGGGUUGCACAGACAACUAGGAUGUUAGCUUAGAAGCAGCUAUUCAUUCAAAGAGUGCGUAAUAGCUCACUAGUCGAGUGACCCUGCGCCGAAAAUGUACCGGGGCUAAAACAAUUUACCGAAGCUGUGGAUACCUUUAUAGGUAUGGUAGGAGAGCGUUCUAUGUGUGAAGAAGGUAUACCGUGAGGAGUGCUGGAACGCAUAGAAGUGAGAAUGCCGGUAUGAGUAGCGAAAGACAGGUGAGAAUCCUGUCCACCGUAAGACUAAGGUUUCCAGGGGAAGGCUCGUCCGCCCUGGGUUAGUCGGGACCUAAGGAGAGACCGAAAGGUGUAUCCGAUGGACAACAGGUUGAUAUUCCUGUACUAGAGUAUGUAGUGAUGGAGGGACGCAGUAGGCUAACUAAAGCAGACGAAUGGAAGUGUCUGGCCAAGCAGUGAGGUGUGAUAUGAGUCAAAUGCUUAUAUCUAUAACAUUGAGCUGUGAUGGGGAGCGAAGUUUAGUAGCGAAGUUAGUGACGUCACACUGCCAAGAAAAGCUUCUAGCGUUUAAACAUACUCUACCCGUACCGCAAACCGACACAGGUAGUCGAGGCGAGUAGCCUCAGGUGAGCGAGAGAACUCUCGUUAAGGAACUCGGCAAAAUGACCCCGUAACUUCGGGAGAAGGGGUGCUGACUUUUGUCAGCCGCAGUGAAUAGGCCCAAGCAACUGUUUAUCAAAAACACAGCUCUCUGCUAAAUCGUAAGAUGAUGUAUAGGGGGUGACGCCUGCCCGGUGCUGGAAGGUUAAGAGGAGUGCUUAGCGCAAGCGAAGGUAUGAAUUGAAGCCCCAGUAAACGGCGGCCGUAACUAUAACGGUCCUAAGGUAGCGAAAUUCCUUGUCGGGUAAGUUCCGACCCGCACGAAAGGCGUAAUGAUUUGGGCACUGUCUCAACGAGAGACUCGGUGAAAUUUUAGUACCUGUGAAGAUGCAGGUUACCCGCGACAGGACGGAAAGACCCCAUGGAGCUUUACUGCAGUUUGAUAUUGAGUGUCUGUACCACAUGUACAGGAUAGGUAGGAGUCUAUGAGAUCGGGACGCCAGUUUCGAAGGAGACGUUGUUGGGAUACUACCCUUGUGUUAUGGCCACUCUAACCCGGAUAGGUUAUCCCUAUCGGAGACAGUGUCUGACGGGCAGUUUGACUGGGGCGGUCGCCUCCUAAAAGGUAACGGAGGCGCCCAAAGGUUCCCUCAGAAUGGUUGGAAAUCAUUCGCAGAGUGUAAAGGUAUAAGGGAGCUUGACUGCGAGAGCUACAACUCGAGCAGGGACGAAAGUCGGGCUUAGUGAUCCGGUGGUUCCGUAUGGAAGGGCCAUCGCUCAACGGAUAAAAGCUACCCUGGGGAUAACAGGCUUAUCUCCCCCAAGAGUUCACAUCGACGGGGAGGUUUGGCACCUCGAUGUCGGCUCGUCGCAUCCUGGGGCUGUAGUCGGUCCCAAGGGUUGGGCUGUUCGCCCAUUAAAGCGGCACGCGAGCUGGGUUCAGAACGUCGUGAGACAGUUCGGUCCCUAUCCGUCGCGGGCGUAGGAAAUUUGAGAGGAUCUGC
rnacentral:rRNA from 1 species